AUGAACGCUGGCGGCGUGCCUAAUACCUGCCAGUCGAGCGAACAGAUGAGGAGCUUGCUCCUCUGACGUUAGCGGCGGACGGGUGAGUAACACGUGGAUAACCUACCUAUAAGACUGGGAUAACUUCGGGAAACCGGAGCUAAUACCGGAUAAUAUAUUGAACCGCAUGGUCCAAUAGUGAAAGACGGUUUUGCUGUCACUUAUAGAUGGAUCCGCGCCGCAUUAGCUAGUUGGUAAGGUAACGGCUUACCAAGGCAACGAUGCGUAGCCGACCUGAGAGGGUGAUCGGCCACACUGGAACUGAGACACGGUCCAGACUCCUACGGGAGGCAGCAGUAGGGAAUCUUCCGCAAUGGGCGAAAGCCUGACGGAGCAACGCCGCGUGAGUGAUGAAGGUCUUCGGAUCGUAAAACUCUGUUAUUAGGGAAGAACAAAUGUGUAAGUAACUAUGCACGUCUUGACGGUACCUAAUCAGAAAGCCACGGCUAACUACGUG
rnacentral:rRNA from 1 species